AGCAAUACGAGCGGCAGACGGGUGAGUAACGCGUGGGAAUCUACCCAGCUCUACGGAAUAACUCAGGGAAACUUGUGCUAAUACCGUAUACGUCCGAUAGGAGAAAGAUUUAUCGGAGUUGGAUGAGCCCGCGUUGGAUUAGCUAGUUGGUGGGGUAAUGGCCUACCAAGGCGACGAUCCAUAGCUGGUCUGAGAGGAUGAUCAGCCACACUGGGACUGAGACACGGCCCAGACUCCUACGGGAGGCAGCAGUGGGGAAUAUUGGACAAUGGGCGAAAGCCUGAUCCAGCCAUGCCGCGUGAGUGAUGAAGGCCCUAGGG
rnacentral:rRNA from 1 species